UACGUAGGGUGUAAGCGUUAAUCGGAAUUACUGGGCGUAAAGCGUGCGCAGGCGGUGAUGUAAGACAGAUGUGAAAUCCCCGGGCUCAACCUGGGAACUGCAUUUGUGACUGCAUCGCUGGAGUGCGGCAGAGGGGGAUGGAAUUCCGCGUGUAGCAGUGAAAUGCGUAGAUAUGCGGAGGAACACCGAUGGCGAAGGCAAUCCCCUGGGCCUGCACUGACGCUCAUGCACGAAAGCGUGGGGAGCAAACAGGAUUGAGACUACCG
rnacentral:rRNA from 1 species